rnacentral:rRNA from 1 species
AAUGGGCGCAAGCCUGAUGCAGCGACGCCGCGUGAGGGAUGACGGCCUUCGGGUUGUAAACCUCUUUCAGUAGGGACGAAGCGAAAGUGACGGUACCUACAGAAGAAGGACCGGCCAACUACGUGCCAGCAGCCGCGGUAAUACGUAGGGUCCGAGCGUUGUCCGGAAUUACUGGGCGUAAAGAGCUCGUAGGUGGUUUAUCGCGUUGUUCGUGAAAACUCACAGCUUAACUGUGGGCGUGCGGGCGAUACGGGCAGACUAGAGUACUGCAGGGGAGACUGGAAUUCCUGGUGUAGCGGUGGAAUGCGCAGAUAUCAGGAGGAACACCGGUGGCGAAGGCGGGUCUCUGGGCAGUAACUGACGCUGAGGAGCGAAAGCGUGGGUAGCGAA